UUUCUCUCAAAGAAAACACUCAAAAGUUUCAAUCUUGAUACAGAGAAAACUAAAAAAAAGGAAGAAAGAUUCAAGGUUGUUUUUCUAUGUCCAACUAAUAGAGAAAACUAAAAUAAAGGAAGAAGGAUUCAAGGUUGUUUUUCUAAGUCCAAUUCUUUUGCUGUAAGGUUUGAGUUUCGAAAAGGCUUUAGGAAUCACAUUAUUGUUGUUGUUCUUUGCUUGGUUGUUGCUACUGCCGAAUUUGCUGAGCUUUAUUCUUCAAUUUUUGUCUUUGUUUGGCUAUUGCGAGCUCUGUGCUCAAGCUUAGGUACAUCUAUGACUUUUAUAUAAAUCUGAAUUCUAGCAUAUUGAAAUAUUUAUGCUCUUUUAUGAAAUUCAAAUAUGCUACUGUCUUCAUGUGACGUUUAUGUUUAGCUGCGAAAGUGUAUUUGCAUUUGAAGUGAAGUUUGAAUUUGCCUCUGUUGGUCAUGUAUAACAUGUUUAAUUUGAAUAUGAAAUCUGUUAAUAAUUUGAGGAAACGAUGACUUUGUAUUAUAGUUAACCAUAAACAUUUGGCAGAUCUAUGGAAAUUGGGUUCAAGUUUGUCCAUGUUGAAGUCUGUUUGUUUUUUCGUUUUGCACAUUAGUGUUGAAAGCUGAAAGAGGAACACCAUACCUGUAGAACCAAAAGCAUGAAUAGAUGUGAUUAAUUAAUUGCAGUCUAUUUGCUAUUACAUUAUUUAAUUCAAGAUUGUAGGAUGUUCGUUCCCAGAAUCAUUAUCAUCACAAAUUCAAGAUCACAAUUUCUAAUGUAAUAAUUUGGUGUUGUAAUUUUAAAUCUGGAUGAAUGUGUACAUAUUUUUAGUUUAGUUUAUAGCUAUUUCAUUUCUCUGCAAUAGGGCCUGCAAUUCGAGAGUUACAAAUCACAGGUUUCCACUCCCAGGGGCCCAUUUUGAGGCAUGCAUCAUUGCUUUUUUGUGUCAAAGGAUUGAAAGAUGAUUUGGG
rnacentral:lncRNA from 1 species